rnacentral:rRNA from 1 species
GACGGGUUAGUAACGCGUGGGAAUAUGCCCUUCUCUACGGAAUAGCCAUUGGAAACGAUGAGUAAUACCGUAUACGCCCUUCGGGGGAAAGAUUUAUCGGAGAAGGAUUAGCCCGCGUUAGAUUAGAUAGUUGGUGGGGUAAUGGCCUACCAAGUCUACGAUCUAUAGCUGGUUUUAGAGGAUGAUCAGCAACACUGGGACUGAGACACGGCCCAGACUCCUACGGGAGGCAGCAGUGGGGAAUCUUAGACAAUGGGCGCAAGCCUGAUCUAGCCAUGCCGCGUGUGUGAUGAAGGCCCUAGGGUCGUAAAGCACUUUCGCUAGGGAUGAUAAUGACAGUACCUAGUAAAGAAACCCCGGCUAACUCCGUGCCAGCAGCCGCGGUAAUACGGAGGGGGUUAGCGUUGUUCGGAAUUACUGGGCGUAAAGCGUACGUAGGCGGAUCAGAAAGUAGGGGGUGAAAUCCCGAGGCUCAACCUCGGAACUGCCUCCUAAACUCCUGGUCUUGAGUUCGAGAGAGGUGAGUGGAAUUCCAAGUGUAGAGGUGAAAUUCGUAGAUAUUUGGAGGAACACCAGUGGCGAAGGCGGCUCACUGGCUCGAUACUGACGCUGAGGUACGAAAGUGUGGGGAGCAAACAGGAUUAGAUACC